rnacentral:tRNA from 1 species
GGGGGUACGGCCCAGUGGCAGAGUGUGUGUUUAGCAUGCACGAGGCUUUGGGUUCAACCCCCAGUAUCUCCA